UGACAAACUUUCCUUGGCUUUAUACAAAUGGGAGAUUAACUUUAUCCCGAUUACUUUAAAUAAAUAAUAUAAUAAUGACUAUAUAUAUAUAUAUAAAUGUUAAACUCCGAAUAUUACAAAAAGUUGAUGAUUUCUUUUAGCAAAUAUUGAGACAGAUAGAUAAACAUCAACAAAAGAGAGAAAAAUUUGUAAAGGUUAUAUUUACAGAUUAUUACAUUUCUAUAGAGGUUUCAGGGAAAAAAAAGGUGAAAAUGUGAUAUUAGGUAUGCUAUUUUCUUAUGUAUGCUUCUAUUAUAUAGUGAUUUGUUAUCCGUAGAUGAAUAUUUGGAGGAUCCAAGUUCUACUUCUAUCACAUAGACAGAGAUAAUGUAGAGAGAAGGCGGAGAAAAAGGAAAGGAAAGAAAAAGUCACAAGGUUUUCUAGGAUUUUGCUCUUUGGUUUUUCGAUUGAUCUUCGUUUGCUUGGGCUUCGAGGAGUUUUGUUUUCUCUUGCAUUCGGUUUGUUUUUCAAGUCUUGGUGCUGGUUUGGUGAGGGGGUGUGCUUGGACAGGCCUGCCUAGUGCUUCGACUUCAACUUCUGAUAUGGAGGAUGGCUUUAAGUGUAAUAGUUCAGCUUAAACGGACCCAAAUAAAUUUUUAAACCUAUUUU